CUAUGACCUGACACUCAAGGAUAGGUAUAAACAAAGCUGACCUUCCUACAUUUCUCUCCUGCUUCUCCUUUACGCAAACCACAAACUGUAGCCAGACAUAUCCGUCUGCUUGCUGUCUCCUAUGUCAUGCCCAUUCCUGAGUAUGCGUCUCUGUCCCUCUACUGAGAGUUCCUCUCUCCUUAGCACAGCAAUUGCCAUACCUCCUUUCAGAUCCAGCUUCUCUGUGGAAGCCCCCACGUGAUUACUCAUGCCUGGAAACCCUUUGUACAAAACACUCCAAUGACAGUUACAUACAUCUCCCUCUGCAUGCAGGUUUUGUUCCCCUAUGAAAUCCUGGGCCAC
rnacentral:lncRNA from 1 species